rnacentral:rRNA from 1 species
AACGAACGCUGGCGGCAUGCCUAACACAUGCAAGUCGAACGAGACCUUCGGGUCUAGUGGCGCACGGGUGCGUAACGCGUGGGAACCUGCCCUUAGGUGCGGAAUAACUCCCCGAAAGGGGUGCUAAUACCGGAUAAUGUCUUCGGACCAAAGAUUUAUCGCCUUUGGAUGGGCCCGCGUUGGAUUAGCUAGUUGGUAGGGUAAAAGCCUACCAAGGCGACGAUCCAUAGCUGGUCUGAGAGGAUGAUCAGCCACACUGGGACUGAGACACGGCCCAGACUCCUACGGGAGGCAGCAGUGGGGAAUAUUGGACCAUGGGCGAAAGCAUGAUGCAGCAAUGCCGCGUGAGUGAUGAAGGCCUUAGGGUUGUAAAGCUCUUUUACCCGGGAUGAUAAUGACAGUACCGGGAGAAUAAGCUCCGGCUAACUCCGUG